rnacentral:rRNA from 1 species
GGGUUGUGAGGUUAAGCGACUAAGCGUACACGGUGGAUGCCCUGGCAGUCAGAGGCGAUGAAGGGCGUGCUAAUCUGCGAUAAGCGCCGGUAAGGUGAUAUGAACCGUUAUAACCGGCGAUACCCGAAUGGGGAAACCCAGUGUGAUUCGUCACACUAUCAUUAACUGAAUCCAUAGGUUAAUGAGGCGAACCGGGGGAACUGAAACAUCUAAGUACCCCGAGGAAAAGAAAUCAACCGAGAUUCCCCCAGUAGCGGCGAGCGAACGGGGAGGAGCCCAGAGCCUGAAUCAGCAUGUGUGUUAGUGGAAGCGUCUGGAAAGGCGCGCGAUACAGGGUGACAGCCCCGUACACAAAAGCGCAUGUGCUGUGAGCUCGAUGAGUAGGGCGGGACACGUGGUAUCCUGUCUGAAUAUGGGGGGACCAUCCUCCAAGGCUAAAUACUCCUGACUGACCGAUAGUGAACCAGUACCGUGAGGGAAAGGCGAAAAGAACCCCGGCGAGGGGAGUGAAAAAGAACCUGAAACCGUGUACGUACAAGCAGUGGGAGCACCCUUCGGGGUGUGACUGCGUACCUUUUGUAUAAUGGGUCAGCGACUUAUAUUCUGUAGCAAGGUUAACCGUAUAGGGGAGCCGGAGGGAAACCGAGUCUUAACCGGGCGUUAAGUUGCAGGGUAUAGACCCGAAACCCGGUGAUCUAGCCAUGGGCAGGUUGAAGGUUGGGUAACACUAACUGGAGGACCGAACCGACUAAUGUUGAAAAAUUAGCGGAUGACCUGUGGCUGGGGGUGAAAGGCCAAUCAAACCGGGAGAUAGCUGGUUCUCCCCGAAAGCUAUUUAGGUAGCGCCUCGUGAAUUCAUCUCCGGGGGUAGAGCACUGUUUCGGCUAGGGGGCCAUCCCGGCUUACCAACCCGAUGCAAACUGCGAAUACCGGAGAAUGUUAUCACGGGAGACACACGGCGGGUGCUAACGUCCGUCGUGAAGAGGGAAACAACCCAGACCGCCAGCUAAGGUCCCAAAGUCAUGGUUAAGUGGGAAACGAUGUGGGAAGGCCCAGACAGCCAGGAUGUUGGCUUAGAAGCAGCCAUCAUUUAAAGAAAGCGUAAUAGCUCACUGGUCGAGUCGGCCUGCGCGGAAGAUGUAACGGGGCUAAACCAUGCACCGAAGCUGCGGCAGCGAACGUAUCACCCAAGACAACUUUACGGAGUUGACGAUUGACGGAGCGAAGCGACGUCAAAGCGUUCAUUAAAGUCGAGUUGGCUUAGGGAUACGUUCGUUGGGUAGGGGAGCGUUCUGUAAGCCUGUGAAGGUGUGUCGUGAGGCAUGCUGGAGGUAUCAGAAGUGCGAAUGCUGACAUAAGUAACGAUAAAGCGGGUGAAAAGCCCGCUCGCCGGAAGACCAAGGGUUCCUGUCCAACGUUAAUCGGGGCAGGGUGAGUCGACCCCUAAGGCGAGGCCGAAAGGCGUAGUCGAUGGGAAACGGGUUAAUAUUCCCGUACUUGGUGUUACUGCGAAGGGGGGACGGAGAAGGCUAUGUUGGCCGGGCGACGGUUGUCCCGGUUUAAGCGUGUAGGUGUGUGUUCCAGGUAAAUCCGGUUCACUUUAACACUGAGGCGUGACGACGAGGCACUACGGUGCUGAAGCAACAAAUGCCCUGCUUCCAGGAAAAGCCUCUAAGCAUCAGGUAACAUCAAAUCGUACCCCAAACCGACACAGGUGGUCAGGUAGAGAAUACCAAGGCGCUUGAGAGAACUCGGGUGAAGGAACUAGGCAAAAUGGUGCCGUAACUUCGGGAGAAGGCACGCUGACACGUAGGUGAAGUGAUUUACUCAUGGAGCUGAAGUCAGUCGAAGAUACCAGCUGGCUGCAACUGUUUAUUAAAAACACAGCACUGUGCAAACACGAAAGUGGACGUAUACGGUGUGACGCCUGCCCGGUGCCGGAAGGUUAAUUGAUGGGGUCAGCGCAAGCGAAGCUCCUGAUCGAAGCCCCGGUAAACGGCGGCCGUAACUAUAACGGUCCUAAGGUAGCGAAAUUCCUUGUCGGGUAAGUUCCGACCUGCACGAAUGGCGUAAUGAUGGCCAGGCUGUCUCCACCCGAGACUCAGUGAAAUUGAACUCGCUGUGAAGAUGCAGUGUACCCGCGGCAAGACGGAAAGACCCCGUGAACCUUUACUAUAGCUUGACACUGAACAUUGAGCCUUGAUGUGUAGGAUAGGUGGGAGGCUUUGAAGUGUGGACGCCAGUCUGCAUGGAGCCGACCUUGAAAUACCACCCUUUAAUGUUUGAUGUUCUAACGUGGACCCGUUACCCGGGUUGCGGACAGUGUCUGGUGGGUAGUUUGACUGGGGCGGUCUCCUCCUAAAGAGUAACGGAGGAGCACGAAGGUUGGCUAAUCCUGGUCGGACAUCAGGAGGUUAGUGCAAUGGCAUAAGCCAGCUUGACUGCGAGCGUGACGGCGCGAGCAGGUGCGAAAGCAGGUCAUAGUGAUCCGGUGGUUCUGAAUGGAAGGGCCAUCGCUCAACGGAUAAAAGGUACUCCGGGGAUAACAGGCUGAUACCGCCCAAGAGUUCAUAUCGACGGCGGUGUUUGGCACCUCGAUGUCGGCUCAUCACAUCCUGGGGCUGAAGUAGGUCCCAAGGGUAUGGCUGUUCGCCAUUUAAAGUGGUACGCGAGCUGGGUUUAGAACGUCGUGAGACAGUUCGGUCCCUAUCUGCCGUGGGCGCUGGAGAACUGAGGGGGGCUGCUCCUAGUACGAGAGGACCGGAGUGGACGCAUCACUGGUGUUCGGGUUGUCAUGCCAAUGGCACUGCCCGGUAGCUAAAUGCGGAAGAGAUAAGUGCUGAAAGCAUCUAAGCACGAAACUUGCCCCGAGAUGAGUUCUCCCUGAGACUUAGAGUCUCCUGAAGGAACGUUGAAGACGACGACGUUGAUAGGCCGGGUGUGUAAGCGCAGCGAUGCGUUGAGCUAACCGGUACUAAUGAACCGUGAGGCUUAACCUUACAACGCCGAAG